GACGAACGCUGGCGGCGUGCUUAACACAUGCAAGUCGAACGGUAAGGCCCUUUCGGGGGUACACGAGUGGCGAACGGGUGAGUAACACGUGGGUGAUCUGCCCUGCACUUUGGGAUAAGCCUGGGAAACUGGUCUAAUACCGGAUAGGACUACGCGAUGCAUGUCGUGUGGUGGAAAGCUUUUGCGGUGUGGGAUGGGCCCGCGGCCUAUCAGCUUGUUGGUGGGGUGAUGGCCUACCAAGGCGACGACGGGUAGCCGGCCUGAGAGGGUGUCCGGCCACACUGGGACUGAGAUACGGCCCAGACUCCUACGGGAGGCAGCAGUGGGGAAUAUUGCACAAUGGGCGCAAGCCUGAUGCAGCGACGCCGCGUGGGGGAUGACGGCCUUCGGGUUGUAAACCCCUUUCAGCACAGACGAAGCGUAAGUGACGGUAUGUGCAGAAGAAGCACCGGCCAACUACGUG
rnacentral:rRNA from 1 species